GAUGUUCCUUAAUUGUUGUGGGAUCAAAUGAAUACCAUGUGCGAAAGAGCUGUCUAAUCUGAGGUGAGAGGCACAGGUGAGGUGAGAGGCGCAGGUAAGAUUAAUCACAAGGAUGGGGGUUCUUCAGUGUGCUCAUGGGAUGCUCCCAUCUGCCCUGGCUUCUGCAGAGCAGCUCUAGCUUAGGGACAUUUUCUACCAGUGCCACAUACUUUCCCUUCUGUAUAAAAUGGUCAGAGGGAUCAGCCCUUAGGACUCCCUAAUGCCUCAGUGAUAGAAACCCACCCUCCAAAAUUGCGCCCUCACCACUUUGAGAAUGUUGCGUUUAGAGAACAAUUGUCUUCACGUGUUCAACAUUGUCCUGUUAUUUAUGAGGUUUUCAACCACCUGGAAGCCAGGCAAAUACUGACCCAAGCUCGGAACUGUGCGCUGACCCAAGGACAAAAGAUCUCUCCAGGAGGAACUUAGGCCUUAUUACCCGUAACCUGCAGUGUAUGAGGAAGUUUGUUUUCCAACUGUGCCUGCCGAAAGUAUUCUCCAUAUGCAUUCCCUGGGCCUGUUGGUUACCAAGAUGGGGACCCUUGAAAGUCCAGUGUGGCUUAGUCUUGAUUUCAAAGAGGCAAAUGAAGAGGUCUCAUAUGGCUGAAAUCAAGACGUUGGAUGGCUGUGUCAUCUUCAGGAGGUUUGACUGGGGAAAGACCCACUUCCAAGCCCAUUUAGAUUACACAUUCCAGGACAGGAAAUUCCUCCUCUCCCUGGAGAGAUCUGCUUACAUUCUAGAGGAAAGAAGAAUUGGGACAAUAACACAGAUCAGGAAAAGCGAAUAGACAAGGAGAAUCUUAAGAAAUGACUCCCUAGAUCCAGCCCACACUCCGAGGGAGGGGAUUAUACAAGGAAGUGAAUACCAGACAGUGUGGAUUAUUUGUGGCCAUCCCAGAGGACUGGGGACAAAGGUCAGUUUUGAGCAUGCAGAUGAGGGCAAUGCAGUAGGAUUGGGUGAAGAAACAGAUUGGAAGUAACUGGGUUUCUGAAUGACCACAUGGAGCCAAGUUGCCUGCCAACCUGCUCUGCUGACUCCAGACUGUGAUGUGAGAAAUAAGCCACUGAAUUAUUACUGGGUCCCUGUGACAGCAGCCUAGCUUUUACCCCUGCUAAUACACUUACCAAGUUAAGUAACCUCUUUGAGUGUCACUUUCGUUAUCUGUAAAGGGAGAAUAAUGUUGAUACAUCCCUUGGAAGGCUGUGGUGAUAAAUAUACAAGAUAAUCCAGACAAAGUGCUUGGUCCAGUGCCCUUCUCAUGGUAAUUUUUUAAAUAAGUGGUUUCUACUAGAAUUAAGAAUGAAGAUAAUUCCAUCUUUGGUUUGGAUGAUGCAUAUAGAGCUAGGAAAGCAGAUGGAGUUGGUGAACUGACAGAAAGACCUGAACUGAUUGAAACAGACUUGCCAUGAGUGGAACCCUAGUAUUCAUAUUUUUUAAAAGUUCCCCAGAUAGCUCUGGUGAGUACCUUGGUUUGGAUACACGUACUUUAUAUUGGCUAUGUAUGUCAUAUAGUAUUCCAUUAAUUAAAUGCCUUAAUGCUUUCCUUUGAGAGAAAGAUCAAUCUAGAAUUCCUGAUAUUCCCAUAAGUGCUAGAAAAGGGAAGUAUAAUAGGCCAAAUUACUCAUAUUCAAUGAAACACAUUUCUUGUUGACACUGAUGUCGAAAACAAACAAACAAAAAAACUGCAUGAGAGACUUCUAUUUGGGGCGGUAUUAUCAUCUACAUUCUCCAAAGAUUCUUCUUAUUAGAUCCUGCAAAAGACUUGAGUUUUCUGGCACUUCUGGGCUCAGGAGAUAAGGGAAAUCUUCAAGCCCAUAAAUCCAACCCAAGCAAACAAAGCUGUGAGCUGAAACUUGGGAGGUGGGUUGCGAGCAGACACGUUGAGUGAGGCUGCCUUACAUGCUAAAUCAGCACCGAGACAAGGAGACCGACUCCUGAGUCUGCUUACAGUUGAGGGGAUGAGCCUGAGGCUCCAGGUGAAGCUGGAGAUCCUGAAGGGAGCCAAAUCGGUCCCAGAUCAGUGGUGUCCUUGGGCUAUUGGCUGAAGCAAAUGUGAAUCAUCUCUGGAGGAGAGCAUGCCCCACAUAAGGGCCUAGGAGUUCAAGGGAUAAAGAUAAACCAAAUAUGAGCUGAUAAGUGAAGACCAACAAACACACAAGGGAACACGCCCUCACAAGUGAAGAAAGAAACCCAAAGGACAUCAGAUACUGCAGUUCUCAUUUUCCAAACAACAUAACUCUGUAGACAGUUUGUUUUUUAAAAAAACAGCCUUAUUGAGAUAUACUUCACAUACUGUACAAUUUACCCUUUUAACCCAUUUAAAGUGAGCAAGUCAAUGGUUUUUAGUAUAUUCACAGAUAUGUGCAAGCAUCACCAGAGUCAAUUUUAGAACAUUUUCAUCACCUCAAAAAAAAAAUUCCAUAUCCUUUAGCUGUCAUCACUGUCUCCUGUUUCCUGCCCCCCCCUAGUUUAGGCAACCACUGGUCUAGUUUCCAUCUCUAGAGACCUCCCUAUUCUGGACUUUCAUAUGAAUGAAAUCAUAGAGUAUGUGGUCUUUUGUGACUGGCUUCUUUCACUCAGCAUAAUGUUUUCAAGGUUCAUCUACAUUGUAGUAUAUAUCAGUAUGUCUUUCCUUUUUGUGGCUGAAUAAUAUUCUGUACAUUUCGUUGUAUGACUAUACCAGAUUUUGUUU
ensembl:lncRNA